GCCUGGGUGGCUCAAUCAGUUGAGCACCUGACUUUGGUUCAGGUCAUGAUUUCAUGGUUCGUGGGUUCGAGCCCCACACUGGGCU
rnacentral:tRNA from 1 species